GUCUAGGGCCAUGCCCUAGAUCUGAUCUGGGAAGCUAAGCGGGUUCGGGCCUGGUUAGUACUUGGGUGGGAGACCGCCUAGGAAGACCAGGUGCUGUAGGCG
rnacentral:rRNA from 1 species